rnacentral:misc_RNA from 1 species
AUGCGAUACGUAAUGUGAAUUGCAGAUUUCAGUGAAUCAUCGAAUCUUUGAACGCACAUUGCGCCCGCCAGUAUUCUGGCGGGCAUGCCUGUUCGAGCGUCAUUUCAACCAUCAAGCGCCUCGCUUGUGUUGGGGCCCUGCGGCUGCCGCAGGCCCCUAAAUCCAGUGGCGGGCUCGUCGUGGUACCGAGUGCAGUAAACAUCCUCGCUCAGGGAACCCGACGGGUGCCGGCCGUGAAACCCCCCCUUCUUAAGGUUGACCUCGGAUCAGGUAGGAAUACCCGCUGAACUUAA